AGAUUGAACGCUGGCGGCAGGCCUAACACAUGCAAGUCGAGCGGCAGCACGGGUACUUGUACCUGGUGGCGAGCGGCGGACGGGUGAGUAAUGCCUAGGAAUCUGCCUGGUAGUGGGGGAUAACGCUCGGAAACGGACGCUAAUACCGCAUACGUCCUGCGGGAGAAAGCAGGGGACCUUCGGGCCUUGCGCUAUCAGAUGAGCCUAGGU
rnacentral:rRNA from 1 species